CUGCCCUGAAACCUUCUUGACUUGGAAUCAACCACUGCACUGUCGCCUAGGAGACCCUGCCUGGUGAAAGGAUCCACGACCUCCGGUCACAGUGAGGCGCAGGCUUCUGCCCUCCGUGGGGCGGUCUUUCAUGAUUUCGUGCGUGCAGAUCCACGUUUCUGCCUGCGGUGAUCCGUGAUGUAUUCGCCACCCCACCCCCGCCCCGCCGCCGUGGUUCUACCCAGCCUGCUGCAGACGCCUCUGCCAGGUGCGUCACCCGCACCUGAGCUGACCCGGGACCCCGACGCCCGCGGCGUGCUGUGAGGAAGCCAGUCUCCGUGCGCCGUUGGGAAACCGCCGGCCAGUUUCUGAUGCAGGGCGCAAAGCCGGAUGCCACCGGUUAGGACAAGCACAGGGUGACCCAAGUGGAGUGGAGCGAGCUCUCUCCUAUCCGGCGUUCCGCUUAACAACACCGAGGGGGCACGUUCCUGGCUAACUGCGAUCGCAGUCAAGCUAGCUUUGCCUUAGCUUCUGGGGUCUCUGCAACCCCCGCCCCCAGAUCCUCCCUUGCCAGUGAGACUCUGGUGUGAAGAAACGAAACAGGUCCCUUUCUCACUCCGUAGUAUCUUAUUGUUACGGGCAUGGGAAGACUGACAGCAAACCUCUCACUCAACAGAUGCCGGAAGAAAGAUGCCCGAGAGCCUCAGAGCCACAAGGUCAUGGAAGCAGAAGAGGCCAGACCAUCUUUUCACUUAGUUCCUCUAGUAGACAUUUUUAAGAAAUAAGGUUCUGAAAGGUUAAUUCAUCCAUCUUUUAGGAUCUGGGACUGUUUUUGUUUAUGUUCAGAUGGAGGAAGCUGUAGGCAAAUGAAAACAAAUCAAUUGAAAGGGGUCCUCCAGGACAAUAUUUUCCUGAUUUUUAACUGCUAUCCAGUAAAAAUGCAUACUUACCAUCACCCAGAGUACAUAGAUAAGUUCUCAUGGAACAAGAGGUGCCCAGAAAUAAUCUCAGUCUCUCUUUCCCUCUCUAUCCCUCUUCUCUCUCUCCCUCCCUCUCCCUCUCUUUCCCUCUCUCCCUUCUCUCCCUCUCUCUGUCCUAUCUCUCCUCUCUCUCUUCUCUCUCUCCUCUCUCCUCUCUCCUUUCUCCUCCCCUCUCCAUACCCUGGCCUUAAAUCAGGUGUUAUCUUACUACUUUCCUGCCUUUUCUGGCUUUGGGUCUUCCAGCCACAGGAUGCCCAUGGCAGCUCCAACAUCUUGACUUGCCCAGCAUAGGACAAUUUUGGAGAGUCAUGAGUGAGAGCUGCAGACUCAGCCUGCUCUAGAAAGAGUUGGGCACUGCCACCCACUCCAAAUCUUUCUGGCUCUAUUUCUCCGUUCCAGCAACCCUGCUCAUGUCUCUAUCUGAGGGGGUUGGGGGCAUGGGCUUCCCAUCUGCUCUCACAUCCUUAAGCCCAAGUUGCCAAUGCACUGGCCCGCACACAGCGUCAGUUGGCAUGGUGAUGACUAGCCUGGGGGGCAGAUGGAGAGAUGUAGACUUCCACCUGCAACUCCAAACAGAGGCAGCCCAGAGCUCUCCCAACUCCCAGGAAUUUGCUAGGCUCCUGUCCAAACACACGGCAGACAAUGAUGACUCUUCUCCAAACCCCAGUCAUUACUAAUACUGGAGCAAAUCAGAGGCUCUGACUCCUUUCUCAUUGGGUCCUAUGUGAGGGUUUUGCAAGGAUCAUGAACAGUCUUGCGGGAAAUGAAGAGGAAUCUCAUUUUUAAUCCACUUGGGAAUUUGUAGCUUGUUCCUCUAAGGAAGAGUGUCUGUGGAAGAGCCCAGUGAUGGAGAGGUUCUGUGGUUUAGGAAUGAGCCACUUGGAAGCAGGUGACAGUGGAGUUACUGUCAUAGUGCUGCUGGAAAAGUCAGGAGGGAAAUCUGGCUCUUUCAAAACCCCCUCUUCUGUAGUAGUCUCCAGGGAGGGCGGUUGGGUAACCAUCUCCCUUCCUUCAUACCAGGGAGCAAAAGCCCCAGAACCCAGGUCCCGGGCAUGCCUCCACCUCCGUUGUUUCUCCAGAACAGGAAGGACAUUCGUCAGCAACCCAGGAAUGCAUUAAACAUCUCUCCCCAGGGGCCCCAACUCCAGAAAGAUGCAACCGUUGACAGCUCUUCUCUUUCGCCUUUGGCCUUUAUCCUGGGACAAGCACACCACAAACCCUGGCUGCCCCAUUCGGUAGCAUUCACUCCAUUGUUCUCAGCUGUCAAAGACGUCAGUGGGGUGAAAGCUUGUGUUUCGGCUGCCCAUCUCCCCUUCCAGCUGGAGUUACUGUGGACAGGAUAGCUGUGGCGUCUCUUGUGCUGUGGGCUGUUGAAAUGUCUUACAGCCGAGAAAUGAUCUCAAGAUGCUUCUAUUGUGAAAACCUACUGACACGCCUGAAA